AGCAACCAAGCAAUUACCCAGCUAACUUCGAUCCGGCAAUUCAACAAUCUGUUUCAGGAGGCGAAGCGGUGGCAUAGGCCAUGAAGACCUGAGCCCAAGGAGGGCACCAGCGGCAUCGCAACUGUGCCACGGUUGUACACCGAGUACUUCGGCCUAGCCUUGCUCCGAUAACAAGGGUGCCGUCCUCUUCUACGGGGACAACAUCGCCACCGAAGCGUCCAUGACUAACGGACCCCGUCCCACACAACGCUAGCAACACGGAAGCAAGCACUUGACGACCGCAUGGCUUCCGUCAAUUGGGAUCUGCUGCGGACGCCAUCGUUAUGGCUUCGGCUGUGCUGCACGCUUUCCGAGAGAACGUUCGUAUAAGGACGUGAAACGGGAGCUGCCCAGAGCCAGCCAUCUCCGCAAUGCCAGCGUGUAUGGCGCACCCUGUUCGUCUUCUGCUACAGCUCUUCGCAGCGAGGCACGCCAGAAAAUCCUCGCUACCUAAACAAGAAAGACAAAGGCAUCGCCCGUGGCACUCCAAGGAGGGCAAAUCGGCCAACGUCGUUACACCGAAAAGGUCAAAAAGCAAGAAAGGUGCGGGAUUUUCGGAACGAGAAACACAUCGGCUACGGGACACCAACGGCAACAAAAGAGCCAGCGUCGUUAGGUCAAAUGGACCGCAGUGACAUUGCAAAUGAUCGGGUGACUACAGCAAGAUCCUAAUGUGCACUUGAAAGCAUGGAAAAAAGGGGGCCGGACUUUGGAGGGUUUAAAAGCGGUCAUCAGACCUCACGCCAGUGUUCUACGGCCGCUCCAUGAUGCUACAGAAUAAAAGAAUAUGUAUUUAUUACUGUUUUAGCGCAGAAUGUACAAAAAGCACAAAGGGACACUAACGGCACAGGUUUUUAACUUGGAACUAUCGUUUAAAGCCACCUGUCGUGAAUAUAUACAGAAGAACAGAGAAAAAGAAUAAAAAGUAAACACAAGAAAGAACAUAAUCAUUUUAUUGUACUA